CAGGGGUAUAAAAACAGAGCGAAAGCACUUGGGGGUGGGGGUGGAGGGGUGGCCCCCACAGGCAAUACUGAGAUGGCCCGGGUCACCGUGGUGCCCUCCAGAAUGGAGCCCUGAGUCCCCCAAGCAGAGGGCAGGAGGGAGAGAUGGCCGAGGCUCAUGCGGGGCCAGUAACCCCAGCUGGGCCCCUCCCAGGCGUGGCCCACAGCUCCCUCUCCUCAGGCCCUCGGGGUGUGAGAUGCUGCGGCAGCUGUGUGGGUGGGGGUGGUCCCUCACGUCCUCUCCCCCAUUCCUCUCCUUGCAAAAGGCCUGGGGGAUGUAGAGAAGAGGGGAGACGGGGAGAGAUGGAGACAGAGACAGGGAGAGACAGACACAGAGACAAGACAGGGAGAGCAGAGAGAGAAGGGGAGGUGGGGAGAGGCAGGCGGGCACAGAGACAGAAACAGAUUAUCAGAAACAGAGACACAGAGAUGAGAAACACGAGGUGGAGUGGGGAGAUUCAGAAAAGACAAAGAGGGAGAUGGACAGAAGGGGCUGUAGGGAUGCGAGCUCUGGAGGGGGACCCUCCUUUCAGGACAGCGUCCUGGCCCCCAGGUGCCCCACUCACCUUCCUGGGCGGGAACCUCAAGUGCAGCCAGGCUGGGGGACAGAGUUCCCCCCAAGCUGAGACAGGAGGGGUCGCAGGCGGCAAAAUUCCUCCUCCAACUCCUGGUGGGGUGGGGGUCAUGGAUGAGGGGGGCCCCUUCCUUCCCCGGCCCACUCAGGGCACCCCUGGCCCGUCCCGCCCCACCUCCAGCUGCUUCAUGGUCUCCUCCAAGCUGAGCAGGUUCUCCUGGAUUUCCUGGGUCCGUGCUGGGCUCAGGGGGCCGCCCCCUGGGACCCCAUCCCCAUCUCGAGGAGGCCCCGCCCCAUUGUCUUCCUCCGCCGGAAACAGAAGCUGCUUCAGGGACAGCACUGGCCAGGGGCAAGGGGGGGCGGAGUCAGGAGACCAGGGGGCUGGGCUGGGAUCUGGGAUGGGGGAUUCUGAAGGGGAUGUGUAGGGGCUGGAGGUGAAGGUGGGUGCCAGGCAAGGCUGAGCAGAUGGGGUUCGGGGAUCCAAAGAGAGGUGAAGAAGUGAGGCUGGGUUUAGGGUUGGGACAGGGCAGGAAGGUACUGAAGACAGAGAUGUGUUCAGGAAGAGGCUAAAUAUAGAAUCAAGCAAGGGAUAAUGG
rnacentral:lncRNA from 1 species